UGGUGGGUAGUUUGACUGGGGCGGUCUCCUCCUAAAGAGUAACGGAGGAGCACGAAGGUUGGCUAAUCCUGGUCGGACAUCAGGAGGUUAGUGCAAUGGCAUAAGCCAGCUUGACUGCGAGCGUGACGGCGCGAGCAGGUGCGAAAGCAGGUCAUAGUGAUCCGGUGGUUCUGAAUGGAAGGGCCAUCGCUCAACGGAUAAAAGGUACUCCGGGGAUAACAGGCUGAUACCGCCCAAGAGUUCAUAUCGACGGCGGUGUUUGGCACCUCGAUGUCGGCUCAUCACAUCCUGGGGCUGAAGUAGGUCCCAAGGGUAUGGCUGUUCGCCAUUUAAAGUGGUACGCGAGCUGGGUUUAGAACGUCGUGAGACAGUUCGGUCCCUAUCUGCCGUGGGCGCUGGAGAACUGAGGGGGGCUGCUCCUAGUACGAGAGGA
rnacentral:rRNA from 2 species